rnacentral:rRNA from 1 species
CCUACGGGGGGCAGCAGUGAGGAAUAUUGGUCAAUGGACGAGAGUCUGAACCAGCCAAGCCGCGUGAAGGAUGACUGCCCUAUGGGUUGUAAACUUCUUUUAUAUGGGAAUAAAGUGUUCCACGUGUGGCAUUUUGUAUGUACCUUAUGAAUAAGGAUCGGCUAACUCCGUGCCAGCAGCCGCGGUAAUACGGAGGAUCCGAGCGUUAUCCGGAUUUAUUGGGUUUAAAGGGAGCGUAGGUGGAUUGUUAAGUCAGUGGUGAAAGUUUGCGGCUCAACCGUAAAAUUGCAGUUGAAACUGGCAGUCUGGAGUACAGUAGAGGUGGGCGGAAUGCGCGGUGUAGCGGUGAAAUGCUUAGAUAUCACGCAGAACUCCGAUUGCGAAGGCAGCGUACUGGACUGCAACUGACGCUGAGGCUCGAAAGUGUGGGUAUCAAACAGGAUUAGAUACCCCUGUAGUC